AUGGGUCCCACCAGUCAUUCCUCCUCCUCCCCCGCGAACCCCCCGCGUCUUCAUUUCCGGAGGUCGGGAGGCGAACAGGCAACCGCUAGGGUUUCGUUCCCUGGGGACGCGCCGCCCUCCGACCUCCGCCUCUCCUCAUCCUCCUCCGCUCCGGGAUAAGAGACUCCCCUCCCUGCUCCUGGCCCCUCACGCCCUAAUCGCGCGCCGGCCCCGGCUCGCCGUCGCCCCCAUCCGGAUCUCCGCCCCGCUGCCGAGGUAAGCAGCAUAAGAGCAGCAUGCCCUGGUCACCAGAUAUUGACAACUUUUAGUGAACCUUGGUCACCAGAUUGACAAUAGCUACUUGGGUUGAUCUCCUUGCAAGAUAAUUAGUGCUUGGUACUGCUUAGUACUGGUUAAAUUACCAGUUUAACAAGUCUAGAUGCCUAUUGUAGUGAACUGCAAUCUUUUUUUCAGGUUAAGGGAUAGUGAAUUGCAAUUAAGUUGCUCUGGGUGCUUGGUACUGGAUUCAAUUUGCUGUUUUGUUCUAAGUUUUCCCUUUCCUGUGAGGAUUGUACCUAAAAUGGUUUCUUCCAAGAAGACGUUUGCUCGGAGAAAGUCGGUAACAAAAGUUCGAUGCCUUAUCUCCACGCUAUCAUAUCUCUGGAUUUUGUAUUUCCUCUUUGGUUCUGUUUAGUGAACUGAAUGCUUGAAUUUAUAUUUGAACUUUGUGGUCUUGUAGGUUAGGUUAUUUCAUGCCUUUGCAGUUGCAGCUAACUAAUCAUCUACAAAAUGAUUAUUCUUUUGGCUACCAGUUCAAUAAUUAUUGAAGCUCAUUUGAAGUUCAUGAUGUUCAUCAAUAGUCAUUUAAGCAGAAGUCCCUGGCUGGAAAUAAGGAUGCAGAUUAGAUAAUUAUGGUGACUUUAGAGAUAGUUGUCGAUUGAUAUGAAUGACUUCAAAAGAUUGUGUAUGUGUAUGUGUAUCUGUAAUGUAUAUAUGGAUAGAUCCUAUAUAUUUGUGAUGUAAAUAAGACCUAUUUCAUGUCCUA